CGGCGUUCGAGGAAUUGAGUUGUAUGGGUACGAUUUCAACACCAACACGGUACAUUUUGAUCUCUGACGACCCGUUCGCACGGUGCGAGAAAGAGCGAGAAAGCAAUAUGAUUUUGCACGUUUCAUUACCACAUUUAUUUGUGUCGUCGAACAAUGAACGGAACGUUCGAACGCGUUCGGUGUAGUCAGUUUCUUCCAAAAGUCCUGGUCGUUUUUUGUUAAGAAUCUCGUUCGUUCGUGCACUUUACCGAACUGUUCGAACGGUUCGAUUCUCGUUCAACCCAAGUAGCAACCGAAGCUUUUUUCUCCCAGUUUCAACCCCCUCAUGUCCAAAAACUGCCUUCGCUUACUAUUCCUAUCCCGUUUCUACAUUCCACAACGUUUGUUGCGUUCUCGCUCAUCAGGGUGUUAGUCAAUUCUCUCUUGCCACACGAAGAGAAUUCUCCUGCACACUUCGUAUGUUGGAUUCUACCCAUCCCUGUUGAACACACGUCAUUUUCUUCCAUCGCACUCAUCAGGGUGUUUGCUCUUUUCCAUCCAAGCCAAAGAGCGACUUCAGUGUGCUCUGAACCGUGGAUGUGAGAGUGUGUGUUUGUGUGCUGCGUGAACUAUUUUUCCUGCGUGAAACACUUUCCAUACUGCGCCAUCCGCGGUGUUCUUUCUGCUUCAUCGGAGGACGAAUUUUUAUCAUCUAAUUGUUUGGUUUCAGAUGUGUGCUGCUACCGCUAGCUGUUCCUCAAACUACUUAAAAAGUGUGACACUGUGUGCACAGGCGUUAGAGUUUCAAUUGAUCCUCAAGCACAAAGCCUUCAUACAACACCGCGGUUGAGGUGCGCCAAAUCUGAUGACAUCUUUCCUGAACCAAGCAGGCUGAACACGCGCACCACCACGGGCUCCAGCGCGGUGUGAAGAGGGAAGAAGAAAAGACAGAAUUGGAAACAGCCGCGCCAGGCUUCCAACCACCGUGUGUGUGUAUGUAAGUAUGUGAGAACACAUGUGUGAAUCUUCUUGUGGGAACUGCAAAAAGAAGAGAAUAAAGAGUGUGAAGCAGCUAGACUGCCGCAACCAAAUCAAGAGAGUGAAUUCUCAUUUCAAUCCGAAAAACUGGGAGAGAGUCUGGGGUCGAAAAACUGGGACAUGCGAGAGAGAAUAAAACUAGAAACACGAGAGAGGACACGAAGCGCUUUCGGGUUUUUUUUCGCCUUCGCGCACAUUUUGCUUUAUGCGCGCGAAAAAGUGAGCCUUGAUCAGCGCGAUGGCUCCCAUACAAAGGCCUUCGGCUUUGCUAUCUGGG